CUCUGGUGAGCAGUGCCAGUUCUAGUUGGGGAUCCCGACUGCGGCUUUACAGGGUCAUUUUGAUGCCACGGUUCUUCUUCGUGCCUCGGUUUCUCUCCUCAUUUGGCGGGAACAUAUCUGGCUUUCCCUCCCUACCUCACGGGGAUGUCAGUGCACUGAGUGGAGAAGCUGGUGCGAGGCUGCUAUGCACAACUCCGAACUGGGGGUCUUGGACCUGCUUUUCAGUUCAGGAGCGCGGUACCCCCAUCUUCCAAAGACGAGGCCAAACGCCUGCCCUUGUAGAGUUCCUGCCUCAGAGACCCCAAGUCCAGGAGAGACUUUUCUGGACCAUUAGCUUCUUUUUCCCUCCUGAGUCUCUGGAGUCUGUCUGGUCACAAGCUCUCAUCUCUGUUUUUAGCAAGAAGGAAGCAUUUUUGGGGGGAUCCCCUGGGGGCCCUGGAGCUGAAUUUUUCCAAGUCUGAAAUGCAGGUAAUUGAUCAGGCUCAGAUAGAUAACUCUUCUGAAGGUAUCACAUACUGUGUCAGCCCAGCUCUGCAGAGGUUCCUGGCAAUGUGAGGCAGGCUAAAGGGAAGUUCCCACCAAUGAUCCAUGUUGAAAAAGGGUGCUUGUGUCUCUGUGUGGGUAUAAGGGACACUCUCCAUGCCACCCCCUCUUCCCUGCCCCUUCCUCUCACUAGUCCACUCAGACCUUGCCUAGAAGGAACAGGGUUCAUGAUGAACUGGACUCUCUGGGGAACUGGUUGCCAUAGCAAUUUACCAGUCCAUUCCCUCUUUUGAUUUGGGAAGCCAGGGAGACCCUGCAGUUAUUCCCUUUGAGAACUGGGAGCAUCUCUUCCAGAUUAGUGCAAGGAGAGGGGUGGGUGGUGAUGGUGCUGGAAUGCCAGUACAGGGAGGCAUGACCUUUACAAAAGAAAGAGGAAAACUGGGGUCAUGGUCAUAUCCCCCUGGGCCUUUGUUUCCCCUGGAUUUUCCCACCUCCCUCAUUUGAAGCUGCCUUUUCUGACCUGCGAUUCUUCAGAAACUUGAAUCUUUGGCAGCUGCCUGUGAAACCCCUGUUGACAGGAUCCAUUUCCAAGAAGUAAACAAACAAGGACAAAAUAAAGGAACCCAGAGAGAACCUCCUCGAGGCAUCCAGCAAUAUCUUGCCCCACUUGUACUUGCUUCAGCCUGUGAUAGUAGCCUGGAACUCCUCCUUCUUUUCUUCCUCCUCCUCCUCAUUCAGUCGGACUCCUCCCUGCUCUCAGAGACUGCCGGAGGCACAGCCUUGCUCUCCCCUUCCCUCCCUGCUGAACAGCAGCAGAGGGUGUGAUCUCUUUGGAAGGACAAUCUCAAGUCCCUGGGCUGCCCUUGUUUCUGGGCCAGACUGUGUCUUCCCAGACCCUCUCCAGUGCAUCUGGAGCACCCAGAGAAGAAGCUUGUGGCCCGGAUGUUUGGGGAGCUGCCAGCCAUGGCGAGGGCUGACCGACUCCAGCAGGAAUUACCAGGUGGCUCUUGGAGCUGUCAUCGAGGUGAUGUCCUCCAGGAGACCGAGGGGCAGCUGGCUGUGGUGCCUCUGAGGAAUAUGAAGUGACAUCUGGAGAUGGAAACUGGAAAUGCAGCAAGGAAUGAGUGUCACUGCUUCUAAGGGCAACGUGCCAUUCAGACCUGAUCUGGACCAAUGACUGUUUCUCAGACCCAAGCAAUACACACCUGUUGCAACAGUAGUCAAGGGAACAUUUUCAUGAACUACUCAAGAUCUGUUUGAGUUCCUACACUGUGCUAGACAAGGAUGAUAACAUGAUAAAUAAAAUUAGAUCUUUAACAUAA